UUAAAUUAAACUGAAUUCAAAAAUUAGAUUAAAAAAACAGAAUCACUUUUUAUAAUCUUUGACAACUAGAAUUUUAAAAUUGAGUUAUAAUAUUAAAAAUAGUAUUUUAUCCAAAAUAAACAGCGGAUAUAGACAAUAGGCUAUAGCAAUUUUAAUUUAUAAUAUAAUAUUAAAUUGGAUGGUUUCCAUUCUUUCAAACUUAUAAAUUGAUCAUUAAAACCUGAGGAGUCAAUGUAAAUCUAAAAUCGACCAAUAAAACAAAUUUACAGAGUUUGUUAUAUCGUUUUUCGUUAACCAGAAUAAUAAAUUUUUGAAAAGUUUCCAAUGAAUAAUAUGAUUAUUUAUACUUGAAACCCUUUUGCCCACGGGUCAUCUCUUUAUAGUACUUUAAUUUGUUACUUGAUAGGAAAAUAGACUUAUUUUUUAUACUUUAAUAUUAUUUCUCCUUUUUAUCUUGUUUUUGUCAAAGUUCUUACUGUAGCUGUUAUUCUUUGACAUAACACUUGUAAAAUCAUUAUUUGGCAAUAUUCCUUUGCUUUGUAGCCAUGGAGACCAGUGAUGUUACCUUUUAAAAGUUUGUUUUUAAAUUAGCCCAUCACAAUUCAAUUUGGAAUAAAAUAUUCAAAUUUUUGUAAAAAAAGAAAAUAGUGAAUUUUGUAAAUUAAAACCAUGGUUAGAAUAAAUGAGCUGAAAUUGGACUGUUGUGAAACAGCUCCUCCACCAGCUAAGCCAAAGAUUCUCAAAUCGAUAAUGAAAAAAAAAGUCAUAAGCCAACCAGUAAAAAAUACUGGGAUAAUAAGCUAUUUGAAAAGCUUUUUUCCAUUUUUUAAAAGAAAUCAAGAAGUUCCAAGUUAUCAGAUAACUGAUUCGGCAAUUUACAGCAAUGGAGAUACUCUACACUGCCAACCACUUGAAAGAGGACCUAAAAAGAAUGUUUCAUUUCGAAUGCCGAAAAAAGAACGAAACAAAAGAGAAAUGAAUAAUAAAAAAGAAACUAACAAUAAAAGAGCAAUAAACAAUAAAAGAGGAAUGAACAGUAAAAGAGCAAUAAAAAAUAAAAGAGGAAUGAACAGUAAAAGACGAAUUAACAAUAAAAGAGAGAUGAACAAUAAAAGACAAAUUAAGAACAAACGAGAAAUCAAAAAUAAAAUUAAAAGAAGAACGCGAACGUGUUGUCGAAGAAGAACAAACUUUGACAAGGAAGACAGAAUAGAGAGAAAGAAUAAGUAUAAAAGAGGAUGGAUUAAAGAAACAAUACCUCCAAGUGAUAGUGGAAGUGAUAGCGAAGAAUCUUAGAGUAUAGAACAAACGAACAUAGAAUCUCAAGCCACGUUUACACCAGAGUUAUCAACAAACUGUUUCUUUUACCGUCCUUAUGAAUUCUACCAGAUUGAACGCAACUUGGCAAACAAAUUAGGCCUAUGUUAUGUUCAAUCUAAUAGAAUAUAUAAGGACGAAAAAAAAAACAUUUUGUUGACAACUCUGGUGUAAACGUGGCUUAAUAAGUAUCCCAACUAACAUAGGAACAUCAGAUCAGCACGUCUAAGAAAUUUUUCUGUAAAUGUUUUGUACUUUUGUAAUUUAAAAAUAAAAUUAUUUUCUUGAUUAAAAA
rnacentral:lncRNA from 1 species